rnacentral:rRNA from 1 species
AGCGCACUGCUCAGUAACACGUGGACAACCUGCCCUGAGGACUGGAAUAAUCCCGGGAAACUGGGGGUAAUUCCAGAUAUGUCAGAACUCCUGGAAUGGGUUCUGGCAGAAAGGCUCCGGCGCCUCAGGAUGGGUCUGCGGCCUAUCAGGGUAGUAGUGGGUGUAACGUACCUACUAGCCCACGACGGGUACGGGUUGUGAGAGCAAGAGCCCGGAGAUGGAUUCUGAGACAUGAAUCCAGGCCCUACGGGGUGCAGCAGGCGCGAAAACUUUACAAUGCGGGCAACCGCGAUAAGGGGACCUCGAGUGCUGGGUUACAAACCUGGCUGUUGGGCUGCCUAAAAAGCAGUCUAUAGCAAGGGCCGGGCAAGACCGGUGCCAGCCGCCGCGGUAACACCGGCGGCUCGAGUGGUAACCGCUGUUAUUGGGUCUAAAGGGUCUGUAGCCUGCCGGCUAAGUCUCUUGGGAAAUCUGGCAUCUCAAGUGUCAGGCUGCCAGGGGAUACUGGUCAGCUUGGGACCGGGAGAGGUGAGAGGUACCUCGGGGGUAGGGGUGAAAUCUUGUAAUCCUCGAGGGACCACCAGUGGCGAAGGCGUCUCA